rnacentral:rRNA from 1 species
UACGGAGGAUGCAAGCGUUAUCCGGAUUUAUUGGGUUUAAAGGGUGCGUAGGCGGUUGGAUAAGUCAGCGGUGAAAGUUUUCUGCUUAACAGGAAAAAUGCCGUUGAUACUGUCUGGCUAGAAUAUGGUUGCUGUGAGUGGAAUGUGUGGUGUAGCGGUGAAAUGCUUAGAUAUCACACAGAAUAUCGAUUGCGAAGGCAGCUCACAAAGCCAUUAUUGACGCUGAGGCACGAAAGUGUGGGGAUCAAAC